rnacentral:rRNA from 1 species
GAUGAACGCUGGCGGCGUGCCUAAUACAUGCAAGUCGAGCGAACAGACGAGGAGCUUGCUCCUCUGACGUUAGCGGCGGACGGGUGAGUAACACGUGGAUAACCUACCUAUAAGACUGGGAUAACUUCGGGAAACCGGAGCUAAUACCGGAUAAUAUAUUGAACCGCAUGGUUCAAUAGUGAAAGACGGUUUUGCUGUCACUUAUAGAUGGAUCCGCGCCGCAUUAGCUAGUUGGUAAGGUAACGGCUUACCAAGGCGACGAUGCGUAGCCGACCUGAGAGGGUGAUCGGCCACACUGGAACUGAGACACGGUCCAGACUCCUACGGGAGGCAGCAGUAGGGAAUCUUCCGCAAUGGGCGAAAGCCUGACGGAGCAACGCCGCGUGAGUGAUGAAGGUCUUCGGAUCGUAAAACUCUGUUAUUAGGGAAGAACAAAUGUGUAAGUAACUAUGCAGGUCUUGACGGGACCUAAUCAGAAAGCCACGGCUAACUACGU